rnacentral:rRNA from 1 species
AUUGAACGCUGGCGGCAGGCCUAACACAUGCAAGUCGAACGAGUGGCGGACGGGUGAGUAAUGUCUGGGAAACUGCCUGAUGGAGGGGGAUAAAUACUGGAAACGGUAGCUAAAAACGCAUACCAUCGGAGGUGGCCAGAUGGGAUUAGCGAGUGGGUGGGGGAAAGGCUCACCUAGGCGACGAUCCCUAGCUGGUCUGAGAGGCUGACCGCCCACACUGGACUGGGGCCACGGCCCAGCUCCCUCCGGGAGGCAGCAGUGGGGAUGUUUGCACAAUGGCCGCAAUCCUGAGGCACCCCUGCCGCGUGGAUGAAGCAGGCCUUCGGGUUUUAAAGUCCUUUCAGCGGGGCGGCGUUACCCGCAGAAGAAGCACCGGCUAACUCCGUGCCAGCAGCCGCGGUAAUAC